rnacentral:rRNA from 1 species
GACGUAGGGUGCGAGCGUUGUCCGGAUUUAUUGGGCGUAAAGAGCUCGUAGGCGGCUCGUCGCGUCGACCGUGAAAACCCGCGGCUUAACUGCGGGCUUGCGGUUGAUACGGGCGGGCUAGAGUUCGGUAGGGGAGACUGGAAUUCCUGGUGUAGCGGUGAAAUGCGCAGAUAUCAGGAGGAACACCGAUGGCGAAGGCAGCCCCCUGGGAUGUGACUGACGCUCAUGUACGAAAGCGUGGGGAGCAAACAGG